UAUCUCUGUAGAGUCUGCAUAUCAAUAAGCGGAGGAAAAGAAACUAGCUAGGAUUCCCUCAGUAACGGCGAGUGAAGCGGGAAGAGCUCAAAUUUGAAAUCUUCAAGGUUCUACCUUGACGAAUUAGUAGUUUAAAGAAGUGUUUUCUGUUGGAGUUUUGGUAAAAGUUCUUGGAAUAGGACAUCAUAGAGGGUGAGAAUCCCGUAUUUGACCAUUACUUUCAGCGUUGUGAUACACCUUCAAAGAGUCGGAUUGUUUGGGAAUGCAGUCCAAAAGUGGGUGGUAAAUUUCAUCUAAAGCUAAAUAUUGGCGAGAGACCGAUAGCGAACAAGUACCGUGAGGGAAAGAUGAAAAGAACUUUGAAAAGAGAGUUAAACAGUACGUGAAAUUGUCAAAAGGGAAGCGUUUGACACCAGUGUUGUUUUCUCGAAAAUCAAUUAAAAAAGUCUGGAUUUUGUAUUGUAAUUGACCUUUAUCAGCUUUACUGUCACUCUUUUCUUGUCUUUUUUUAAUGCACUUUUCGUUUAACAAGUCAACAUCAAUUUCUUUUGUUGUAAAAGGGUCAUUGGAAGGUGGCUUUCUUUUCGGAGAAAGUGUUUAUAGCCUUUGGCCUCUGCAAUCGGAGAGAUUGAGGUCUGCAGCGUAGAUCCUCCGGGGUUAGAUACAUUUGUGCUAAGUUAUAGCCUUUCAUAGACAACUUGUUGACUAUGAUCAGUCAUGUAGCUUACUCGCUUAUGCUAUUUUACCUACGCUUAGGAUGUUGACGAUCAGCUGAGCGCG
rnacentral:rRNA from 1 species